GACUUUCGGAGCCUGCUGCGUCGGACUUAGGCCAGUGUGAGCGGCAGGAGGAUAGGAGAUUAUCUUUCUUAUCGCGGUGGGACGGGAAAGGGCAGUUGGGGUCGGAGUCGGCGGCAGAGUGCAGAGCUCGGGCGGUGGAGUCCCUGGAGCACCGGGCUAGGGGCGGAACCGAGUGCCUGUCAGGCGCGUCCGGAGCUCUCGGGCCCGCCGAGGAGAUCGCAGCGUAAAGGCAGCUCGCCUACUGCGUAAAGCGAACCUCAGCAUAAAAGAUGACAACAGCAGCCAGGCCAACCUUUGAACCUGCAAGAGGUGGAAGGGGAAAAGGAGAAGGUGAUUUGAGCCAACUUUCAAAGCAGUAUUCAAGCAGAGACCUACCCUCUCAUACAAAGAUAAAAUACAGACAGACUACUCAGGAUGCCCCUGAAGAGGUUCGUAACCGUGACUUCAGGAGAGAGUUGGAAGAAAGAGAAAGAGCUGCCGCAAGAGAGAAAAAUAGGGAUCGUCCAACCCGAGAACAUACAACCUCCUCUUCAGUGUCAAAAAAGCCACGGUUAGACCAGAUUCCUGCCGCCAAUCUUGAUGCAGAUGACCCUCUAACAGAUGUAUGUUUUGUUUCCUCCUUUCAUCUCUAAUAAUUGAUUUACCAUGUUUCUCUAAAAUACUUAUGUCUUUGCUUUAAGAAGUGACAUAUAUUUAUGUUUACUUACUGUUAUUCAAAUAUAGCCCUGACCUCAGUGCUAAACUUUAUAGUUGAUUUUAAAACCAAAAGUAUUAUUUUGUGGGACUU
rnacentral:sRNA from 1 species